GUGGCCUUUGGGUCCCGCUGCUGAGGUGGCAGGUGGUGACAUCCCAAGGCCUCGUGGUGGCUCUGAAUCCAGCGCAGCAUCCAGCGAGAGCCUGCCAAGCCUCUCCAGGCACCACAAACUUCUUGUAAAUCCGAGGGCUCCUGGAGGUGAGGAUGUGGCUGCGGCUCCUGUCCUUGCUGGGACAGGCCUGGAGGACGAGGAGGAGGAGGAGGAGGACAAGGAGGAGGAUGAUGAUGAUGAUUCAAAGCCUGCAGUUGUGUGGAGCUAUCUCCGUGCUGGCAACCUUGGCUGCCGCUCAGUUUUGGUGUUCUGGGGAUGGCUGCCAAGAGAGGCUGAAGGAGAGGACAGAAAGAGGCACCUGUAUCCCUGUCGAGCCCAUCCGUGAGUUUCAGACUGGUCAGGACAGAAGGGUGUGAUGGAAUCAACCCUUCCAGCUGCUGCCCAGGUGAUUUCCAGCUCAGAGCUCUAAGCAGGGCUGCUGCAGGGAGAUUUUCCUCUGCUGUGCUCACAGAUUCUGUGGGCAGGAGGGCUGUGGAAUAUCCAGGGAAGGUGUGGGGGAAGCUCUUGGGAAAAGAGGGACAAAGAACCACAUAAAAUCCCACGAAAAGGGUUUGGAAUGAAG
rnacentral:lncRNA from 1 species